GAGGGUGUAGCUCAGUGAUAGAGCGUGUGCUUAGCAUGCUGGGGGUCCUGGGUUCAAUCCCCAGUACCUCCA
rnacentral:tRNA from 1 species